GGCAAAGUAGCCAAGCGGUCUAAGGCGCCAGGUUCAGGUACACCUGAAUUCUUCAUUCAACAACGAAUGUUUCCUGGUCUGAGAAAUCAGGCGCGAGUUCGAAUCUCGUCUUUGUCA
rnacentral:tRNA from 1 species